rnacentral:rRNA from 1 species
UACGGGGGGGGCAAGCGUUGUUCGGAAUUACUGGGCGUAAAGGGCUCGUAGGCGGCCAACUAAGUCAGACGUGAAAUCCCUCGGCUUAACCGGGGAACUGCAUCUGAUACUGGAUGGCUUGAGAUUGGGAGAGGGAUGCGGAAUUCCAGGUGUAGCGGUGAAAUGCGUAGAUAUCGGAAGGAACAUCAGUGGCGAAAGCGGCUUCCUGGACCAGUACCGACGUUCAGGCACGAAAGCGUGGGGAGCAAACAGG